CGGUAGAGAGAAGCUUGCUUCUCUUGAGAGCGGCGGACGGGUGAGUAAUGCCUAGGAAUCUGCCUGGUAGUGGGGAAUAACGUUCGGAAACGAACGCUAAUACCGCAUACGUCCUACGGGAGAAAGCAGGGGACCUUCGGGCCUUGCGCUAUCAGAUGAGCCUAGGUCGGAUUAGCUAGUUGGUGAGGUAAUGGCUCACCAAGGCGACGAUCCGUAACUGGUCUGAGAGGAUGAUCAGUCACACUGGAACUGAGACACGGUCCAGACUCCUACGGGAGGCAGCAGUGGGGAAUAUUGGACAAUGGGCGAAAGCCUGAUCCAGCCAUGCCGCGUGUGUGAAGAAGGUCUUCGGAUUGUAAAGCACUUUAAGUUGGGAGGAAGGGCAGUUACCUAAUACGUGAUUGUUUUGACGUUACCGACAGAAUAAGCACCGGCUAACUCUGUGCCAGCAGCCGCGGUAAUACAGAGGGUGCAAGCGUUAAUCGGAAUUACUGGGCGUAAAGCGCGCGUAGGUGGUUUGUUAAGUUGGAUGUGAAAUCCCCGGGCUCAACCUGGGAACUGCAUUCAAAACUGACUGACUAGAGUAUGGUAGAGGGUGGGUGGAAUUUCCUGUGUAGCGGUGAAAUGCGUAGAUAUAGGAAGGAACACCAGUGGCGAAGGCGACCACCUGGACUAAUACUGACACUGAGGUGCGAAAGCGUGGGGAGCAAACAGGAUUAGAUACCCUGGUAGUCCACGCCGUAAACGAUGUCAACUAGCCGUUGGAAGCCUUGAGCUUUUAGUGGCGCAGCUAACGCAUUAAGUUGACCGCCUGGGGGAGUACGGCCGCAAGGUUAAAACUCAAAUGAAUUGACGGGGGCCCGCACAAGCGGUGGAGCAUGGGGGUUUAAUUCGAAGCAACGCGAAGAACCUUACCAGGCCUUGACAUCCAAUGAACUUCUAGAGAAUAGAUUGGUGCCUUCGGGAACAUUGAGACAGGUGCUGCAUGGCUGUCGUCAGCUCUGUCGUGAAAAAUUUGGGUUAAAUCCCGUAACGAGCGCAACCCUUGUCCUUAGUACCAGCACGUAAUGGUGGGCACUCUAAGGAGACUGCCCGUGCAA
rnacentral:rRNA from 1 species